AUGUAACGAUGUGCUCUCAGCUCUGGACGCCACCUUUCCCUUGGAGACAUUUCUGCUACCAGAAAGGGUGAAGGUUGCAGGUCAGCGCUCCUGGCCCCGGGGUACAGCUUGGCGAAGAGCUAUAUUGUUCAGAAUUCUUUUGUAUUCCUUCAGAACAUUGUUCUUCAAGAUAUAUGGGAUCGGGUUUCAGUUAAAGUACAAGAAAACAUGUAGAAGCUCUGAAGUACAAAACUGAACCCUGGUGACAAAAAUUCUGAAAGAUUUCGUACAAGAAAUUUGAGACAAGCUCUUGCUUCUGAGGUACAUCUAGAGAUCACUUUUCUUUGUCUAAAGUAUUAUGUACUUGGAUUAAUUAUAACAAAUAUGAUUUGCAUUGUUGAUCUCAAAAUAACUAAAAAGUAUUCUUCAUAACUACUGUUGAAAUGAUAAUAUUGCUAAUAAACUUAUGCUUAUAUAUCUAUUCUUGUAAAAUCUAGCUUCGUUAUUUCCUGGGGCAGGGCACAAAGCUUUUCAAUAUUAUUUCAAGUUACUUUUGGUUUUUUUCAAUCAGCGGUUGCCUGUUUGACAUUUAGAAAAUGCUAGUUAAUGAUAUUUACUUUUAUUCAGUGAAAACAAAGUGGUUUUGACACAGCUGGUCAUUCUGGAGCUUGGAAGAUAAACUAAAUGACUUGUUAC
rnacentral:lncRNA from 1 species